rnacentral:rRNA from 1 species
AGAGUUUGAUCCUGGCUCAGAGCGAACGCUGGCGGCGUGCUUAACACAUGCAAGUCGAACGAGUGUAGCAAUACAUUCGUGGCGAACGGGUGCGCAACACGUGGAUAACCUUCCUUGAGGUGGGGAAUAACCCAGUGAAAAUUGGGAUAAUACCGCAUAACAUGACGAUGCCACAUGGCGUUGUCUUCAAAGGCGCAAGUCGCCACAAGAGGGAUCCGCGGCCGAUUAGCUAGUUGGUGAGGUAACGGCUCACCAAGGCUAUGAUCGGUAGCCGGACUGAGAGGUUGGCCGGCCACACUGGAACUGAGACACGGUCCAGACUCCUACGGGAGGCAGCAGUGGGGAAUCUUGCACAAUGGGCGAAAGCCUGAUGCAGCAACGCCGCGUGGGGGAUGAAGCUUCUCGGAGUGUAAACCCCUUUCGACCCGGACGAAUGCCCGCAAGGGUUUGACGGUACGGGUAUAAGAAGCCCCGGCUAACUACGUGCCAGCAGCCGCGGUAAGACGUAGGGGGCCAGCGUUGCUCGGAAUUACUGGGCGUAAAGGGUCCGUAGGCGGUGCGGUAAGUCGGGAGUGAAAUCUCUGGGCUUAACUCAGAGGCUGCUUCCGAAACUGCCGUGCUAGAGUGCGAGAGAGGCAAGUGGAAUUGCGGGUGUAGCGGUGAAAUGCGUAGAUAUCCGCAGGAACAUCCGAGGCGAAAGCGGCUUGCUGGAUCGCAACUGACGCUGAGGGACGAAAGCUAGGGG